rnacentral:rRNA from 1 species
GGUUCGAUCCUGGCUCAGAUUGAACGCUGGCGGGAUGCUUUACAUGCAAGUCGGGCAGCACGGACGAAAAACGCCGGUCUGGUGGCGAGAGUGAACGGGUGAGUAAUGUAUCGAACGUGCCUAGUAGCGGGGGAUAACUACGCGUAGCUAAUACCGCCUGCAUGUCGGGGGAAAGCGGGGGACCUUCGGGCCACUCACGCCGCUGUUGAUGACGAUAUCGGAUUGGCUAGUUGGUGGGAGUAACGGCUCACCAUGGCGACGAUCCGUAACUGCAGAGGACGACCAGCCACACUGGGACUGAGACACGGCCCAGACUCUGCAGGAGGCAGCAGUGGGGAAUUUUGGACAAUGGGGGAAACCCUGAUCCAGCCAUGUCGCGAUGACCUUCGGGUUGUAAAAGCACUUUUGGCAGGAAAAAGCUACGGGAUAAUACCCGAUGCAACUGACGUACCUGCAGAAUAAGCACCGGCUAACUACGUACCAGCAGCCGCGGUGUGCAUGGAGAUUUGCAAGCGUUAAUCGGAAUUACUGGGCGUAAAGCUGCGCAGGCGGUUCGGAAAGAAAGAUGGCGAAAUCCCGGAAAACGCUUUGGAACUUCAUUUUUAACUACCGAGCUAGAGUGUGUCAGAGGGAGGUGGAAUUCCGCGUGUAGCAGUGAAAUGCGUAGAUAUGCGGAGGAGGGAACACCGAUGGCGAAGCCUCCUGGGACGCGGCGCUCAUACUGCACGAAAAGCGUAGGGGAGCAAACAGGAUUAGAUGCCUGGUAGUCCACGCCCUAAACGAUGUCAACUGCUGUUGGGGCCUUCGGGCCUUGGUAGCUGGUAACAUUGAUUGGCCAUGCCUGAAGUACGAUCGCCAAGAUUCAGAAGCUCAAAGAAUUGACGGGACCCACCCAAGCAGUGGAUGAUGUGGAUUAAUUCGAUGCAACGCGAAAAAACCUUACCUACCCCUUGAGCAUGUCUGAAUCCCGAAGAUUUGGGUGCUGAGAACCAGGAACACAGGUGCUGCAUGGCUGUCGUCAGCUCGUGUCGUAGAUGUUGGGUUAAGUCCCGCAACGAGCGCAACCCUUGUCAUUAGUUGCUACGAAGGGCACUCUGGACUGCCGGUGACAAACCGGAGGAAGGAAGGUGGGGACAAUCAGGUCUCCCAUGGCCUGUGGGUGGAGCUUCACGUCGCCAAUGGUCUGGGACAGGGUCGCCAACCCGCAAAGAGGCCAAUCCAGCCGAUCAUGAGAUGGGAUACGCAGUCUGCUGCAACUCGACUGCGUGAAGUCGGAAUCGCUAGUAAUCGCGGAUCGCGGUGAAUACGUUCCCGGGUCUUGUACACACCGCCCGUCACACCAUAUGGGAGUGGGUUUUACCAGAAGUAGUUAGCCUAACCGUAGGAGGGCAGUUACCCACACGAUAGGAUUCAUGACUGGGGUGAAGUCGUAGCAAAAACAUU